GAAACACUCUCAAAUCUCAGAGGUUUCCAAGAUCAAGUCUUAACUUCUUAAUCGUACCUACCCAUUGGUGACAGUUGGCUAUGGGUGGCUGCAGUCCUAUCUCCUUUCUUCUGCGAUCCAGUGGAAGAAGCAGCCCCUGUCUGAGAAAUGGCCUUCUGAUGGCAGAAGGAAAAGAGCAAUUGCAGAACCACAUGCUUCUGGAUGAAAUAACCAUAGAAACAAGUUGCUUCUGUUUGGAUUACCAGCCACUGGAAAAUGGAAAUGUAGAAGAUGCUGAUAAAAAUAUAGAGUUGGAAUUUAAGGAUUGAAAUCCAAAUGAACUUAGGCUUCCUGCUUCAUCCUGCACCUGCCUUCUUGAAAGAAAACAAGACAUCAGAUACUUAUUCAAAUAAUGGAAUAGC